UACGGAGGGGGCUAGCGUUGUUCGGAAUUAUUGGGCGUAAAGAGCUCGUAGGCGGUCUGUCGCGUCUGCUGUGAAAACUCAGGGCUUAACCCUGAGCUUGCAGUGGGUACGGGCAGACUAGAGUGCGGUAGGGGAGACUGGAAUUCCUGGUGUAGCGGUGAAAUGCGCAGAUAUCAGGAGGAGCACCGGUGGCGAAGGCGGAUCUCUGGGCCAUUACUGACGCUGAGGCGCGAAAGCUAGGGGAGCAAACAGG
rnacentral:rRNA from 1 species